GCGGCUGUGGUCCAGCGGCUAUGACAGGGGCUUCCCAUCGACCGAUCUUAUGGCGGGAAACAGCCUCUAACCCGGGUUCGAAUCCCGGCAGCCGCA
rnacentral:tRNA from 1 species